rnacentral:lncRNA from 1 species
GAUAAAACUCUGAUAUGACCUAAUGGUAAGUGUUUAUGAUAUAAUUAUUCACCUUUUAAAUCUUACAAUGUUAUCUAAAUACUGUUUUUCUUACUGAGUAUAUAAAACUCACUUUUUCCAUGCCCCCUCCCAGAUGCAGAAGAUAGUGAGAGACCAUUAACUGACCUGUCAAUUGAAGUUUAUGAGGAUCCUGUGGAUCCGCAAACCUCGAGUGCAUGAUUGUUUUCGCACUCUAAUGAGUCAAAUAACAUAAUGAUAGAAGUGACCAUUUUUAUCUUUUGACAUUUGUUUUUUGU